rnacentral:lncRNA from 1 species
AGUUUUCAGUUUUUUGGUGCAGGUGCUUAUGAACCAUAGCAAAUUCGCAUUUCACUUUGAAAGUCUUUUUCGUUUUCAAAAUCAAAAUACUCUGAACAGUAAGUCAUCUCUUUUCUUUUGAUUUUCUUAUAGAUUAGGGUUUUUACUAUGAAAUUUGGGAUUUAAAUCCAUUUAAGGUUUAGGGGUGGCUCCUUUGAUUCUAUUUAACAAAUGCAGUAGCAUUAUACAGAUUUAAAUCCAUUUAAGGUUUAGGGGUGGCUCCUUUUGAUUCUAUUUAACAAAUGCAGUAGCAUUAUACAGGUUUAUGGGUUUCAAAUGAAGUAGAGUUUUUCUAUUUCCUGUUUUUUAAUUUCAAUUUCAACUUUUAGUCAUUAUUUAUUGUUUCUAUUUGUUUUAUUUCUGUACAGGUUCUGCAGAGUAAUUUGUUGUGCCAUCAUUGCAUACUGAGUUGUUGGUUGUUCUUUAAUAAUUUAAGCUGUGGAAUUCAAGAUACACUUUUUUACAGUUGGUAGUAAUAUUAAAGCUCACUAUUUGGGGUACAGGUAACAGAUCUAUAGUUUUUAAUCAUAUUUUCUGCUAUUUAUUUUUUUUCUGAAGGAUUUUAUCAUACAUAUUUAUGAAGAUAAAAAAUUUGGAACGCUUGCUACUCCUAUAUAAUUAUUGUUUAUCUUGAAGUCUAUAUCUUUUAAGCUUUGUAAGCUUGAUUGCAUCAUGUACGCAGUUACUGUAUCUCUGUGUAUUGAAUUUAUGAACCACUAUGUGAACUGAAUUUAUGAACCACUGUGAUAUAUCUUGUCAGUUAGAGGCUUUGUAUUCUAACUAAAUAAUUAUUUUACCCUUAACUAUCUAACUAAAUAAUAACUAGUUUACCCUUAAUGGCAACAUGAGUGUUUAACCCUCUUAUAAAUCCCCUGUAGACGGCCCCAAAACCUCCCUCUCCUAUUUUGCUGAAGACGAGAACACAAGCUGAAACCAUUUGAAUAGAUACAGAAUGAGUGAAACAAGCAUAAUACAACACCAAUGCAGUAAAAUGCAUGAUCGACUUCGCAAGACACUUCAAGGAGUUAAUGGGUAAACAAGAAAUGGUAACAUGUAGACUUAAUACUUCCCCAUUUACCCAAUUAUAUGAAUAACAAUAAAAACAUAGUGAGAAGUUUAAACAUCCUAGAAAAACAACAUAAACUACAGCAGCAAAAGCAAAUAGGAAACAAAACUGCAUAAAAAGCAAAGGGGCAUAAAAAAUUUCAACUUACAUAAUAAUAAUAAUAUUUGCACACCCUUGCUUCCAACCUUGUCUCCAUGUGUUCUGCUCCUUGUUCAGCCACAACAACCACACUCAAAUUGGUGUUUUUGUAUAAGCCGAAGAGUAUGUGAAAUGUGCAAAAAAAAGUUCUUUUGACAGUGUAUGGUUGUUACAAAUAAAUAUGAUAUCACAAUUAAUAGACAUAACUUUUUUAAAAUUUUAAAUGAAAAUAUAAAAUAUUCAUUACAUUCAAAUUGAUAAAAACUAAAAUAUCCAACAAUAAAUUCAAACAUGCAUAUAUGAGAUGAGAUUUAAUUCUACUUCAUAACAUUUAACUACACAAGUAUUUGAAAAAUUACAAUAAAUGGUCUUUAAUAUCUUCAAGAAUUUUGAUCAUGCAAAAUAAACCACUAAUAUCAAUAAAAAAAUAAUUAAUAAUAUUUUAGAAAUGUAAAAUGUAAUUAUAGACAUAGUAAUGGAACAACUUAAAUAAUAACACAACUUAGUGAAGGAACAUUUGAAUUGUUAAAUGAUAAAACUCCUAAUAAAGUAGUCAUUUGACGUUUCAGCUCCCUUUCAAUCUCUUGUUUCAUUUGGUCAUGUUGAGUUUUCACAAAAAGUUUUUAUCCUCAAUUAAUAGACUUUGAGAUUUCAAUUCACUUUGAAGUUGAAUGUUAGCCUCUUCUUGUUGUUGGAUUAUGCAUUCCUCACUCUAAAUCAUUUGCUCUUUUUUGUGCAUUCUCCACUUGACUUUGAACAAAUUGUCUCUCUACAUUUUCCUUUUGUCAUUGAUACACUUCCUAUACCUUGUGAGUGAUUUGGUUUUGUUCCUAGUACAUAUGCAAAAUGUUUAACCAAUGGCACAUGUGCUUUUGAAAUUUCUUCUCCAUACACUUCACCCACAUUUUUCAAAUUUUCCUACACAAUGUUAACACAAAUUAAAUAACAUUGGCAACUCGCUUUGCAUUAAAUCAUUACACUACUAGAGAAAUAAAAUUUAAAUGAUGUGAACUUUUUAUUUACAAUUGUGCUCUAAUUCAAGUGUGCAACAAUUAAGUUUCAUAUUAAGUAGCAUAGUAAUUUAGGUGUGCAACAAUUAAGUUACAUAUUUCAACUUACAAUUUUUAUCCAUAAUUCAAAUAUCUAUACUAAAAUUGUAAAAGUUUUUUUUUUAUCAGCAAAGAAUAAAAUAAAAUUAAAAGGGAUACUUAAGGGUUAUUCCAACCCAUAUACAAAACCGAGCUCCUCACAGGAGGGAUCCAUAGUCAACAUUACAAACCAUGAUCCAGAAAAAACCAGCAGCAACCAAUUGCUAAAGAUAUACAAGGCUACACCCAUAAACACCCUAUUAUUAAAAGCUGUUAAAGAAAACCCUGCUGCUUGUAGGUUUGUCCUCUUCUCAAACCCAAACUCUCAAGCACUAUAUAGCUUCUAUACUCCCUAUAGUUGAAGCUAUAGCAUAAAACACAUGUUUCUCCUCAGUAGAAUUCUUUCUUCCCCAUCCUUCGUACCAGAAAACCAUCAUGCCCCAUCCUCCCAUGAUUUCCUUUACUGCCAGGACACUUCAGAACCUCCACAUGUUGUUCACGCUAAACUUCAUAGUCAACCUAACUCCAGCAUUGCUUGCACCCGUUUGAACCUCCUCCUAGUUGUUCUGCUUCACCUUUACGCACCCCCCCCCCCCCCCCCAACAGGGGAUUAUUCACACAUAACAGUAGCCAAACUGCUAGUCCUUCACAAAACCAAUUGCUGGACCUGCUCACGUCAGAGUCCACUCUGUUGUGAUUGAAACACUGUUAUGGGCACUAGUCUACCAUCCCACGUACCCUUAUUUGAUCCAACCUAGCUUGCUCACCACGUGCUCAACAAAAUUACCCUUAGCAAAACCAGCACAGAACAUACCAAAGGCUAAUGAUUGACCUCACAACCAAAUCAUCAUAAUUUUGCACUUUAUUCUUCUAACACUAACAGAAUUAAUUGAGCACAGUCCAGCCAUCGAACAAACUGGAAAUUUGCAGUGUGACACUCCAUUAGGCUACAAAUUAGCUUCUGUAUUACUCCACAGUUGUUACACAAACUGCUUUGCAUUCACAACACUUGCAACCGCAACAUUUCCAUCUAUGCAUCACCUCCACUGCUUCGUGUCUUCAUAUGUUCAUACUUCUCGUACACAAACUUGCUUCUGUUCAGGCAACUGAUAGAUGAAUAAUUCACCCUAUCUAGCUAUUUCCUGCACCAGCCCAUCAAUCUAGACGUUAUUCCAGCUCACUAAAACAUGCAGCUCCCAUUCUACCUGUAUUCCUUCAACAUACCAAAAGGAGAACUUGGCCCUCAUCACCAUCACUAACGACAAUUCUGUAAGCAGAUACCCGGAUUAAGAAUCCAAUUCGAGAAGGCGAAGUCGAAAGGGAAGGCCCCAUGUUUCAACAUUAGCCACGCUGCCAACUGGGCUAGGUGGACAAUUUCAUCAGCAUCAGCUACCCCUUGCUUAAAAACAAUCAAGUUCCUUUGAUCCCACAGAUUCUGACUAACUGUGAAGUGUGGUAACUGAAAGCUCUCAAAGUGGACUAGAAUGUCCUUAUGCUGGACAAACAAUAUGCCUAUCCAUCUAAAACAUAAAGACCAAACACUCUGAGCAAGGAUGCAAUCCAGGAAGAUGUGUUGUGCCGAUUCUUCAGACCCAUUACAAAACACGCAGGACGAAGAGGUGACUACCAAACCUCUUCGAAUGAGAUUAUCAUAAGUUGGAAGGCGUCCAAGUAAGAUCCUCCAUGCAGUUACCAGGGCUUUGGGCAUCGCUUUUGCUUCCCACAGAAGAGAAAAGACUUCAUUUGAAAAGCCUACAUGCUGAUGAGGUAAAUUCAGAUAAGCAGAUUUCACUGAAAAAUCACCAUUCUGAUCCCCACUCCAAACUAAAGUAUCCUUGGCUUCUUUGCUCAAGGUCUUCCCUGUUAUGAGAUUAAGCAAUUCUCCCUCCAUAGCACUCUCCCAACUAAACCUAGCUCUUCUCCACCUUAACCACCAAUUCCAAUCUGAAUCCUCCCAAGAACCUACCUUAGCCACCGUCUUUCCUUGGUCCAGGGAGACGGAAAAAAGCCUGGGAAACAAGGUUUUAAGCUUUUUGUUCUCCACCCAAGCGUCUUCCCAAAAUCUAACUUUAACCCCGGACCCGACCUUCCAAGCUACAUGUUUUUGAAGCCAUCCCUCCUCUUCUCCCUCCUCAUACACCUUUGAUAGAUCUUUCCGCCACCAAGAAAGAGUCUUAUUAUUACUUACUGUACCAGGACUGUACUUCGAUAGUAAAAUGUCUUUCCAUUUCCCCUUUUCCUCACUCAGCAGCCUCCAUUUCCACAUUGCUAGCAAGGCACAGUUGAAUAUUCUAAUAUCCUUGAUCCCCAAACCCCCUUCCUCCUUUGGCUUACACACGUUUUCCCAGCUUACCCAAGAGAUAUGCCUAUGAUCGUCACCCCCUGUCCACAAGAAUCUCCUCUGAAUGCUAGAGAUUUUGUGGCAGACUGCAUGUAGGGCUUUAAAGAGAAAAACAUAAAACAGGGGUAUAGAGGUUAGAAUCGACUUAACCAGGCAUACUCUACCAGCUAAGGAUAGGCAUUUCCCUUUCCAGGCACUAAGUCUGGUUUUAACCUUGUCCACAACUGGUUCCAAAAACUGCCUCCUCCUUGGAUUGCCACCAACUUGCAUCCCCAAGUAUUUAAACGGGAUCUGGAUAACACCACAGUUAAGAGUUCUUGCAUAUAGCUCUAGGGAAUUCCUUUCUACCUUGAUACCUGACAACUUUGAUUUAUGAAAGUUAACCUUGAGGCCUGAACCUAGCUCGAAAAUCCUGAGGAUUGUUUUGAUUGUAAAAAUAUUAGAGACAGACUGUUCACACAUAAACAAAGUGUCAUUAGCAAACUGUAACAUGCAACAUUCAGUCUGCGCUCUCCCCACCUUCACUCCUUUUAACACGUUCUCCUUUAAUGCAUUACGGACUAGACCCGCCAACCCCUCGGCAACAAUAAGAAAUAAAAAAGGGGCCAAAGGAUCGCGUUGCCUCAGACCCCUAAAAGGUUUAAACUCCUCUGUCGAACUACCAUUAAUCAAAACCAACACAGUUGCCAACUCCAGACAACCAUGUACCCACUUAAUCCAUCCUAUGCAACAUAUCCAACAAGAAGCUCCACCUAACCGAGUCAUAUGCCUUUUCAAAGUCCACCUUCAAGAAAACUCCACUCCUCCUCAAACUUUGAUUUAUGAAAGUUAACCUUGAGGCCUGAAGCUAGCUCGAAAACCCUGAGGAUUGUUUUGAUUGUAAAAAUAUUAGAGACAGACUCUUCACACAUAAACAAAGUGUCAUCAGCAAACUGUAACAUGCAGCAUUCAGUCUGCGCUCUCCCCACCUUCACUCCUUUUAACAUGUUCUCCUUUAAUGCAUUACGGACUAGACCCGCCAAACCCUCGGCAACAAUAAGGAAUAAAAAAGGGGCCAAAGGAUCGCCUUGCCUCAGACCCCUAGAAGGUUUAAACUCCUCUUUGGACUACCGUUAAUCAAAACCGACACAGUUGCCGACUUCAGACAACCUUGUACCCACUUAAUCCACUUACUAUGGAACCACUUAAUCCACUUACUAUGGAACCUCAUCCCAUGCAACAAAUCCAACAAGAAGCUCCACCUAACCAAGUCAUAUGCCUUUUCAAAGUCCACCUUCAAGAAAACUCCACUUCUCCUCAAACUUUGAUUUAUGAAAGUUAACCUUGAGGCCUGAAGCUAGGUUGAAAACCUUGAGGAUUGUUUUGAUUGUAAAAAUAUUAGAGACACAUUCUUAACGCAUAAACAAAGUGUCAUCAGCAAACUAUGACAUGCAUCAUUCAGUCUGCGCUCUCCCCACCUUCCCUCCUUUUAACACGUUCUCCUUUAAAUGCAUUACGGACUAGACCCGCCAACCCCUCGACAACAAUAAGGAAUAAAAAAGGGGCCAAAGGAUCGCCUUGGCUCAGACCCCUAGAAGGUUUAAACUCCUAUGUCGGACUACCGUUAAUCAAAACCGACACAGUUGUCGACUCUAAACAGCCUUGUACUCACUUAAUCCACUUACUAUGAAACCCUAUCCUAUGCAACAUAUCCAACAAGAACCUCCACCUAACCGAGUCAUAUGCCUUUUCAAAGUCCACCUUCAAGAAAACUCCACUCCUCCUCAAACUUUGAUUUAUGAAAGUUAACCUUGAGGCCUGAAGCUAGCUCGAAAACCCUGAAGAUUGUUUUGAUUGUAAAAAUAUUAGAGACAGACUCUUCACACAUAAACAAAGUGUCAUCAGCAAACUGUACAGCAUUCAGUCUGCGCUCUCCCCACCUUCACUCCUUUUAACACGUUCUCCUUUAAUGCAUUACGGAAUAGACCCGCCAACCCCUCGGCAACAAUAAGGAAUAAAAAAGGGGCCAAAGGAUCACCUUGCGUCAGACCCCUAGAAGGUUUAAACUCCUCUGUCGGACAACCGUUAAUCAAAACCGACACAGUUGCCGACUCCAGACAGCCUUGUACCCACUUAAUCCACUUACUAUGGUACCCCAUCGUAUGCAACAUAUCCAACAAGAAGCUCCACCUAACCGAGUCAUAUGCCUUUUCAAAGUCCACUUUCAAGAAAACUCCACUCCUCCGACAUCUUCGUACCUCCUCAAUCUCUUCGUUGCCCAUUAGGACACUUUCCAACAUCCCCCUUCCUUUCAGAAAAGCUGACUGAGUUUCAUCAAUAACCAAAGGCAAGACAUUCUUGAUACUAUGUGACAUUGCUUUAGUGAUGAUCUUAUACAUAGCUCCCACGAGAGAAAUAGGCCUGAAUUGGUCAAUCAUAACAUGAUCCUUCACUUUAGGGACAAGAGCAAUAAACGACGCAUUACAACCCUUCGGGAAAAUCCCACAUUCCUGAAAACAAGAAAAAAAAAUUUAAAUCUAUUAAAAUUAAAGCAAAAGUACUUUUUUUACUUACCAUAAUUUCUUCUCCAUUAGGAAUACAUCAAGUGUCAUCAGAUCUCAUACGUGUAUCCUUCCAUACUUUCAUUGCAUUCGGUCAUUCCUCACUUUUUAAUUCUUCUUUCUAUUGAAAACAAAUAAAUAAGGUAAUAUAAUUAUACAUUAAAUAAAAGAACAAAAACAAACUUGUAUAUGUGGAACAUAAAGAAAUCAUAUAAAACCGAUAUAAAAGUUGCACAAAUUUCUAUAUAUGAAACAAAAAAGUAACAUUAUCAAUUCAAAUGUGUUUUUAUAAUUGAUUUUGUGCCAAUAAUUGAUCUAAUUUCUUGUUUACUUCGACUAGCUUUAUUUUUUAAGUUCAUUUCCUAUAAAUGUAGAAAUAAUUUAAUAUUAUAAUACAUAAAAAAUAAAAUUCAAAUUUAAGAUAUAGAUAUAAAUAUACAAAGAAAGUAACCUUAUCUUAAAUUUGGAAUCAUUUCAUUUGUUAUGUAUUAGCAAAUUCCAAUCUUCGGGUAAUACAUCAUGUGACCUACCUUUGUUUUAGAUGUAUUUUUUUAUACAAAUGGUGAUGUCUAUUUCUAUAUUGCUUUUGAAAAUGUUUUAUUGCAUGUUCUUUAUCCUCUUCCAUCAAACAUAAUGCAUCCUAAAGCCAUGAAGUUAAAAAAAAGUACCAAAUAAUCAAAAUACAUUAAGUAUAUAAAUAAAAUUAAUUGAGUACACUUAUAUGAAUAGAGUAAUACUAACCUUCAUAUGUUUCCACAUUAGAGUUAAAUCAUCUUCAUAUAUAUUUUUCUAAGUUUUAACUUAUUAAGGAGUCUUUUGACCUAUACACAUAGUUGCUUCAACCUUGAGAUAUUUUGCACGUUUUCCACAAAGCUUAAAAUGGGGAGGUGGAAAUUGGAUGUCAAAAGUAUUUCCCAUUACCAUUAACUUUUCUCUUUUCUUUGAGAGUUUUGCAUUAAUGGUAUGUCCACCUCGCUUCUUAACACCAUGUUGACCUAAAUUAAAUUAGGAAAAUAAAUCAAUACCAAUUUUAAUAAUUAUUUAUUCAAUCUAAAUAAACAUGUACAAAUACUUGUACUGGUUUCAUGUUGCUCAACAUUAACCAACUCAGAGACAUUGACCCUUUUAGAAUUUAAUUUUAAUGGUUUUGUUAUCUAUAAAAUAUGAAAGUAAAUAAUCACAAAAGUUUAAGAAUGAGUUACCCUAUCAACCUAAAUUAGAUACAUGUUACUUGUGUAAUUAAACUAAAAAUAAACAUUUAUACGUUUAAAGAAACUCAUUACAUACCUUUUUUUAUUGUAUUUUUCAUCUUCACUUGAAUAUUGAAACUCUUCUAAUUCUUUGGUUCUAUACUCUUCAUCUCUUUCUUUUCCCUUCUUGUUCUUGGUAUUUUAAGUUAGGACUUUCAAAGAAUAAGCUAAAUGUGAUAAUCCGAAAGCCUCUAGUUUUGCUUUGUUUUCUACAAUUCUUUGUAGCCUUUGUUCUUAUUUAGACAUGUCUCCUGCAAACAAAAAGCUAGGAUGCUUUCUCACUUGAAGAUGGAUCUACGUUAAAGUGAACUUUAGCUUAUACUUGGCCAAGUCAAAUAAUAAACUAAACUAAAAUAAAUAAGCCAACAAGAAAUAACAAACAGUUCCCAUCAUUGAAAUAACAAGCAUUGUUUACAUCAUUUAGAACUUAUUGAUAUAGUAGUGUAAUGAUUUAGUGCAAGGCUAGUUGUCAAUGUUAAUUAUUUUGUGCUAACAUUAUGUAGGAAAAUUUGAAAAAUGUGGGUGAAGUGUAUGGAGAAGAAAUUUCAAAAGCACAUGUGCUAUUAGUCAAACAUUUUGCAUAUGUACUAGGAACAAAACCAAGCAAAUGUGGAUGUAUUUUUCAAAUUUUCCUACAUAAUGUUAGCAUAAAAUAAUUAACAUUGGAAACUAGCCUUGCAUUAAAUCAUUACACUACUAUAUAAAUAAGUUGUAAAUGAUGUGAACAAUGCUUGUUAUUUCAAUGAUGUGAAUUGCUUAUUAUUUCUUGUUUUCCUAGCUUUUUGUUUGCAUGAGACAUGUCUAAAUAAGAAGAACAAAGGCUACAAAGAAUUGUAGAAAACAAAGCAAAACUAUAGGCUUUCGGAUUAUCACAUUUAGCUUAUUCUUUGAAAGUCCUAACUCAAAAUACCAAGAAAAAGAAGGGAAAAGAAAGAGAUGAAGAGUAUAGAACCAAAGAAUUAGAAGAGGUUCAAUAUUCAAGUGAAGAUGAAAAAUACAAUAAAAAAAAGGUAUGUAAUGAGAUUCUUAAAAUGUAUAAAUUUUUAUUUUUAGUUUAAUUACACAAGUAACAUGUAUCUAAUUUAGGUUGACAGGGUAACUCAUUCUUAAACUUUUAUGAUUAUUUACUUUCAUAUUUUAUAGAUAACAAAACCAUUAAAAUUAAAUUCUAAAAGGGUCAAUGUCUCUGAGUUGGUUAAUGUUGAGCAACAUGAAACAAGUACAGGUAUUUGUACUUGUUUAUUUAGAUUGAAUAAAUAAUUAUUAAAAUUGGUAUAGAUUUAUUUUCCUAAUUUAAUUUAGGUCAACAUGUUGUUAAGAAGCGACGUGGGCAUACCAUUAAUGCAAAACUCUCAAAGAAAAGAGAAAAGUUAAUGGUAAUGGGAAAUACUUUUGACAUCCAAUUUCCCCCUCCCUAUUUUAAGCUUUGUGGAAAACAUGCAAAAUAUCUAUACAUCAAAAGGCUCAUUUACAAGUUAAAACUUAGAAAAAGAUAUAUGAAGAUGAUUUAACUCUAAUGUGAAAACAUAUGAAGGUUGGUAUUACUCUAUUCAUGUAAGUGUACUCAAUUAAUUUUUAUUUAUAUAUUUUGAUUAUUUGGUAUUGUUUUUAACUUCAUGGCUUUAGGAUGCAUUAUGUUUGAUGGAAGAGGAUAAAGAACAUGCAAUGAAACGGUUGCAAAAGCAAUAUAGAAAUAGACAUCACCAUUUGUAUAAAAAAAAUACCUCCAAAACAAAGGUAGGCCACAUGAUGUAUUACCCGAAGAUUGGAAUUGGCUAAUACAUAACAAAUGGAAUGAUUCCAAAUUUAAGAUAAGGUUACUUUAUUUAUAUAUCUUAAAUUUGAAUUUUAUUUUUUAUGAAUUAUAAUAUUAAAUUAUUUCUACAUUUAUAGGAAAAGAGUUUGAAAAAUAAAGCUAGUUGAAGUAAACAAGAAAUUAGAUCAAUUAUUGACACAAAAUCAGUUGUCCAAAACACAUUUGAAUUGGUAAUAUUACUUUUAUGUUUCAUAUAUAGAAAUUUGUGCAAAUUUUAUAUAGGUUUUAUAUGAUUUCUUUAUGUUCCACAUAUACAAGUUUGUUUUAGUUCUUUUAUUUAAUGUAUAAUUACAUUACCUUAUUUACUUGUUUUCAAUAGAAAGAAGAAUUAAAAAGUGAGGAAUGACCGAAUGCAAUGAAAGUAUGGAAGGCUACAUGUAUGAGAUCUGAUAACACUUGAUGUAUUCCUAAUGGAGAAGAAAUUAUGGUAAGUAAAAAAAGUAAUUUUGCUUUUAUUUUAAUAGAUUUAAAAUUUAUAUUUUUUUUCUUGUUAACUUUUAUAAUUUUAGUAUAGAUAUUUGAAUUAUGGAUAGAAAUUGUAAGUUGAAAUAUGUAACUUAAUUGUUGCACACCUAAAUUAUUAUGCUACUUAAUAUGAAACUUAAUUGUUGCACACUUGAAUUAGAGCACAAUUGUAAAUAACAAGCAAUGUUCACAUCAUUUAAAUUUUAUUUCUAUAGUAGUGUAAUGAUUUAAUGCAAGGCUAGUUGUCAAUGUUAAUUAUUUUGUGUUAACAUUGUGUAGAAAAAUUUGAAAAUGUGGGUGAAGUGUAUGGAGAAGAAAUUUCAAAAGCACAUGUGUCAUUGGUUAAACAUUUUGCAUAUGUACUAGGAACAAAACCAAAUCACUCACAAGAUAUAGGAAGUGUGUCAAUGACAAAAAGAAAAUGUAAAGAGACAAUUUGUUCAAAAUCAAGCGGAGAAUAAAAAAAAAGCAAAUUAUAACAAUAAUGAUUAAGACAAUUAAAACAAACAUGUACUAGACAAUUUAACUUGUGUUAACACUAUUAAAUUGCUCCUAGUAGAAAGUCUUUUCUUUUUCAGGUUAGAUCAUGUGACUAAGCUAUUCAACAAAGAGUCUCUUGUACAUGAUGAUUUAGAGUAAAUCUUGUAAUGCUUAUAAAAAAUUAAACAAAGGCAGGGAACAUUGUGAAUUCACGUGCUUGUAUUACUUCAAAUUCAAUAUCUGCUCAGUUCCAUGAUCAAUGACGCUCAUGGAUAUCAUAUCUGGGCGCUGCAUAGCUUUACUAUUUCAGUUGUUUGAAACCCGUUAAACUGGUUGUACCGUGGACUCCCAACAAAGUGAAUUAGUAGUAGUUCUCUUUCACAUAUGAUCAAAUUUUAUGGAAUAAAUGAAAAAAUGGAAAACAUUGUGAGGAUAUUAGAACAUGGAAAAUACUUCACAGUUCAAAAAUAUCAAAAUAAUAAUUCAAAGAUAACAAAAAAUUCAAGAAAAAACAUUAAGAGAAUUUUUAUCAAUAAGCAUAAGCUUCUAUUUUAAAUUAGUCUAAAAGUUAUUUAUAAAGGUCAACAAAAUCUUAUUUAUACUAUGAAUCUAAUACUACUUGAUUUCUUUACUAACUAGCUGAUCCAAUAACAUCUAAUAAUUAUAAUGAAAUUAAUGUCCGAAUAAGGUUCUAAUUAGCAAAUCAUAUAUAAUCAAAUACAUAGGUCUAAUAAAACCCAACACAAAACCCACAAACUUUUUUGGAAUUAAAUAUGUUUUUCAUUCUUGAACUAUAACGCGAAAUUGAUUUUUUUUUCCAAAAUUAAGUUUCUUAAAUACUUGUAGUAAGAAAAUUAUUGAAAUAGAUAUUUAUUUUUACGUAACAAGAAUUUUCAUGUAUUACAAUUUACAAUUUGAUAACAUUCACAUGUAUUAUAAUAUUAUAAAAAUCUAUGUCACUAAUGAGUUAACAUGAAAUAUUUUAACAUCACAAUGCACACUGAAAAUCUAUUUGCUAUGUAAACAAAAAAACUGGUAAGAACUCAUACCAAUAAUUUUCUUACUACAAGUAUGUAGGAGAUACAAAAUUUAGACUAAGAACGAAAAUUAAUUUCGCGUGAAAAUAUAGGAACAAAAAAAUUUAGAUAUGUGAUAUCAAAUACAUCUAUGAUAUGAUAUGUGUUUUUAGGGACAAAAUGUUAUAUAUAUAUAUAUAUAUAUAUAUAUAUAUAUAUAUAUAUAUAUAUCAAAUACAUCAUGAUAUCUAUAUUUGAAAAUUUUAGAUUAAUACAAUUGUUGUGUUAAAUAACGAAAACAAAGUUUGAUCCUACAACUUCAUUAAAACUAUCCAAAUUCCUAACUCGUAAACUGACUCAAGUGAGUUAUCCCAAAUUCCCAACAACCAUAUUAGGGUGUUUGGAAUCCUAUUGGAUUGCAAUUGAAUUGAGUUUUUGCACUUUCCAAUGCACAAUCAUAAAAACAAUGUGAGUGUUGAAAUAGGUUAAGUUGAACAUAAUAGAUAUCCAAACCAACUUAUUCUAUUCCAUUUCAUUCUACUAUACUUCAUUCAAAAUUGGAUAUCCAAACCAAGCACUAGUUCUUGCCAACCAUGCCUGCUGAAAAUUUCAAAGUUGAUAUCAUAUAUAUUAACUGUCAUUCAUCAAAUAAUCUUUUCUUACUUCACUGUUUGAAACAACAAUCUGAUUAUGUUUUACAACAGGGAAAGGGAGCAGAUAGACAAAAUAAUGGAUGCCUAUUCUAAACUUUACAUGAUGCUCCACAUCCAUGCAAGGGAGAGAAUGUUUCCGUCAAGUUGCCUGCAACAAUUCUCUGAUAUCGUACCCUUGAAGCUAUAAUUACAAACAGCAGAAGAAGUAUUCUUAAUAUUGAAUAAAAGAUGAUUGUAAAAACUAUCAGAAUUUGCAAACACGGAGUGAUAAUUAAUACCUG